rnacentral:rRNA from 1 species
AUUGAACGCUGGCGGCAGGCUUAACACAUGCAAGUCGAGCGGGGGGAGGUAGCUUGCUACCGGACCUAGCGGCGGACGGGUGAGUAAUGCUUAGGAAUCUGCCUAUUAGUGGGGGACAACAUCUCGAAAGGGAUGCUAAUACCGCAUACGUCCUACGGGAGAAAGCAGGGGAUCUUCGGACCUUGCGCUAAUAGAUGAGCCUAAGUCGGAUUAGCUAGUUGGUGGGGUAAAGGCCUACCAAGGCGACGAUCUGUAGCGGGUCUGAGAGGAUGAUCCGCCACACCGGGACUGAAACACGGCCCAGACUCCUACGGGAGGCAGCAGUGGGGAAUAUUGGACAAUGGGGGGAACCCUGAUCCAGCCAUGCCGCGUGUGUGAAGAAGGCCUUAUGGUUGUAAAGCACUUUAAGCGAGGAGGAGGCUACUUUAGUUAAUACCUAGAGAUAGUGGACGUUACUCGCAGAAUAAGCACCGGCUAACUCUGUGCCAGCAGCCGCCGUAA